rnacentral:tRNA from 1 species
GGUUCGUUGGUGUAGUGGCUAACAUACCGGAUUGUCGAUCCGGCGCAACGGGUUCGAUUCCCGUACGAACCG